UUGGGUUUGGCGGCGGCGGCGGCGGUAAUGAGCAACGCCCCGUUUGCCCUAAACCUCGUCGCCUUGUCGGACCUGCUGCGGUUCCCGAGUUUCUCAAGCCCCUCAGAUGUGGCAAACACAGCCAAUCGUAUUCUGAUGGGAGGUGUGGAGUUCUCAACAUGAUUGUGGCGAAGACAAGCGAGGGAAGAGAAUCCAGUUGCUGCAGCUGCUGGGCAUCGUGUUCGUCGCCUCCGGGGAGAACAGGCAAUCCCUUGGUUCACGACGUGCACUUCGUACAUCAAAUGGAGCUUCUCUCACCCUUUGGUCGACCCAAGUUUUCGGAUAAACUGGGCAUCACCUCUGCCUCCCCCGUUUGAGCA